UAUAUGAUUUUAUUCUUUUUAACAAACAUACUUGAUUAUUGUAAGAAUGUCCCAAAGAUUUUCUCAAACAACACUUCUUUUAUUGUGUCAUAUUUUAUUUGGGUACUUUAGAAUAAAAGUUUUAGUAUCUUUCUGUCUUUGAUGUGGUCAAUUUAAUUACUUUGAAUAUGAUAAAGGUGAUUUUAUAAUAACGUAUAAAGUUUUAGUGUAUUAAGUGUUUGUAGUUUCUGCUAAGUAUAUUAUAGCUUUAUCUGUUUUAUUAUCUGUGUCUUAUUAUUGGAUUCUAGUUAAAUAUUAUUUUGGUAGAGAAUUUGCCAGAGGCUCAUUCAAAAGAUAACCUUCAGCGAAUAUUCUGGGAAGCUGGAAAGUAAGAUUUCUUCCAGUCUUAGUAUUGCCGUAUUGUUUCAAUAUUUGUUAAGACUGUAAUUUUUGUGGUUCGAAUUCUCUUAUGUGGACAUGUCGUCUUAUAUACAAUAUAAGGCAGAUUAGCAUUUAUGAUCCAUGUUCUGCUGCAGAGUCGACAAAACAUAAACAAGUAACAUUUUUUAGUAGCAAGGUUUGGAAGUAUCUUAUAUUUACAUCUAGACUUAAGUAUAAAGAGUUAUACCUUUUUUUAGUUGCUCGUGCUAGAACUUCCAUUUUGAAUGUUUCAGUUAUCUUAGAAAUGAAAUAUAGUGUUGCUAGUACUACUUCUAUAGGCUCUGAAUUUGGUAAUCUUUACAAAUUUGUGUCUAUAUUGAUUGCUAGUUUGCUAUUAAUAAAUGCAUUUUAGCUGUUCUACUUCUGAGAGAAUUAUUAAGACAUAGUGAUUGCCUCUGUUUGUUGGAUUCUAUCCCAGCUGAUUUGAUUUGGUUUCUACGUCACUGCAUAACUUUUAUUUGCUAAUUGAGACAACUGGCAGUGAUGAAUCCUCAGGCAAGUGAAUUUCUCACCCAAUUAUUUUGGAUAAGCAAUAUAAUUCUUUCUUAAUUUUAAUAAUAAUAUUGUUGUGUGCCAUUUGAUGAAUUUAUAUACUUAAUAUGCAUGAAUGUUGAUGAAGCGCUUUCUCUCUUACAAUCUAAGCAAUCGUAUGCAAAUAGUGCACAAGAUCUAAAUUUGAUUCCUCGAUAUUCUCCUCCAUCGACUCAUAUACCAAAUCAUGAUUAGAUUUGACUGCAACUUGCUUAUGGUUGGAUGAAGUUUUUUGAAGAAAUAAAGGCGAUUCUUGGCACAAUGAUGAAGCAUAAAGUCUUUUUGGUUUCAAAUGAAAAAACUAGUUUCUUUUUCGUUCAAGUUCAUCAUGAGAAAAAUAUGUAUUUUGUUUAUUUAUGUUUAUUAUUUAUUUGACUUGGUAACUUAUCAAGUAUGCUAAUUGGCACUUGGAACACCUUUUUAUAUACAUGUAAUAUAUAUUAUUAGCU